CUGCGCGGGGCAGGGGAGUUCGGCGGGGUAAGAACUUUGGCGCCGGGCGCGCGGCCCGUGAGCCUUUAUUCGCGCCUCAUUAGCAUCUCAUUACCCCGCGAUCUGGGGCCCGGGCGGCCCAGGGACCCGCCCACGCCUGCAGGGUGGUGCCCGAGGGCGUGGCGCUGCGGAUGCCCGGUUCCGCUUGGGGGUCGGAGACCCGGGCGGGGCUGACUGGGACUGAGAAGUUCGGGGUCUGCGCCGCCCGGCGCCCGACAGCGCACCGCGGCCUCCAUCCCGGUCCCCGCGUCUGCAGAGCUAGCCGUUCCCGGACAGGCGAGGCCACCCACCCUUGAGCGGUACCAACUCUUCGAGCGGCUUCUGAGCGCCGGGCGGAUAGGGCGCCAGGGCUGGGCAAGAAGUUUGCAGAAGCUGGCGGGUCCGUAGGUGGCGCCGGAACGUCUGUGCUCUCUUCACCUCUCCUACCAGGAGAGCCAUGGCCCGGGCGCCCUACGAUGGAUCCAGGCUUAGGGUCCGCCACGCCCUGCGACAAGUCUGUCCCAAGACCCGGGCUGAGGACAAUGGGCACGGAUUGAAGUCCGGGGAACCUGGCAGUCUGCAGCUUCAACAAGCGGCUUGAGAAGCAAAUAAACCAGAACUCUUCCGGAAGAUAUUUUUAUGGCUGAAACUGGCUCUCAAGUUAGAAGCAGGUAGGCCUGUGCCAUGCAGAACAGGAGCCACCAGCCACACGUGGCUGUCAAGAACUUGUAUUAUGGCGGGGCGCCUGGGUGGCUCAGGUGGUUAAGCGUCUGACUUCGUUCAGGUCAUGAUCUUACAGUUUGGGAGUUUGAGCCCCACGUCGGGCUCUGUGCUGACAGCUCGGAGCCCGGAGCCUGCUUCAGAUUCUGUGUCUCCCUCUCUCUCUCUGCCCCUUACCCGCUCACACUCUGUCUCUGUCUCUCAAAAAUAAA